AUGGUAGUGUGGGGUUUCCCCAUGUGAGAGUAGGACACCGCCAGAC
rnacentral:rRNA from 1 species